AGCAGCCGCGGUAAUUCCAGCUCCAAUAGCGUAUAUUAAAGUUGUUGCAGUUAAAAAGCUCGUAGUUGAAUUUCGGGAUUGACACAUCGGUCGUGCCUUAAGGGGUAUGAACUGGUGUAGUCAAUUUCUCACCUUCUGGAGAACCGCGAUGCCCUUAAUUGGGUGUCGCGGGGAACCAGGACCUUUACUUUGAAAAAUUAGAGUGUUUAAAGCAGGCAUUUUGCUUGAAUACAUUAGCAUGGAAUAAUAAAAUAGGACGGCAUGAUUCUAUUUUGUUGGUUUCUAGGAUCACCGUAAUGAUUAAUAGGGAUAGUUGGGGGCAUUAGUAUUCAAUUGUCAGAGGUGAAAUUCUUGGAUUUAUUGAAGACUAACUACUGCGAAAGCAUUUGCCAAGGAUGUUUUCAUUAAUCAAGAACGAAAGUUAGGGGAUCGAAGACGAUCAGAUACCGUCGUAGUCUUAACCAUAAACUAUGCCGACUAGGAAUCAGACGAUGUUAAUUUUUAAUGUACUCGUUUGCAC
rnacentral:misc_RNA from 1 species